CCCACAGCCGCGGCAUCUUCCCGAGCUGGCAGCAGACCCUGAAAGGCCCUGAGACCCAGGACUUGAAGAAAAGGUUUGCUCCACAGGUGGUCCAGAGCACACCCAGGGUCUCCUCAGACUGGGCACUGCUCGGAUUUCUCCUUUCACGCCUUUAACUUUAUGGAAUAUCCACAUAACUGCCCUGGGACUGUCUCUGCCAUAUCCAAGCAUCUCACACAAUACCUGGCACAGAGUAUCAGACCAUCGGGCUGCAGAGACUUGACAGGGCUCCGGGAACCCCGUGCUGGGAGAGGGGAAAAGAUGACGACCUGCAGAAGCAGCAGCACAGGGCAGGCUUGUCUGCUAGACAGAGAUCUCAGUCAUCUUCCUGGACCACCCUGCACGGGAGACUGGCGAGCUGAGACAAUAGUGGGCGUGAUGGGUAGGACCACACCUUGACCAGGUGACCAGGCGUACUCCGGCCCCAUCUGCCCUCCUAAGCUUCACGUCAGGAUCUCAGAGGGAGGUCUUGGACUUAGAGGGAUGGCCGUGAAGCUUCCUGGACUCCUUUGUUUGUUCUUCUUCCUGAUGUGGAUACAUUCAAUAACUCUUCUUUUUCUGCUUUUACUAUGACAGACCACUGGCUAAGCCCAGCUUGUUUGUUGGUUAUCAGGCUAGGCUACAAGCACCCUCACCCCUAACCACCGAGCCAUCCCACCAGCCCAGAAAA